rnacentral:lncRNA from 1 species
AAACUCUUGAAUAUCCAAAGAGUGAUCGGGUACUACAACUCGUCCCGGAUGCAACAAAGAUGUCAGUGGGAUGCCAUGCAACUCGGCAAACAGCCGGUCUAUGAAUGAAUGCGAUGCACCGGUAUCAAAUAAUGCUCGUACUCGAAUACCAUAAAGUAAAAUGAUACCUGCGAUCACAUUCUCGGCUGCUGCCGCCUCUUCAGUCUGGGCCGCAUACAUGCACCCACUCGGGGCCUGUCGUGACCCCUCCGCCUGCCGCUGAACUGGCGGUCGCCCAGCCUGGUGAUGCGCAGAAAGUGUCCCCUAGCUGGGACCCGGUAAAGCUGGUGUAGAUGCUGAAGAUGGCGCUGGUGUUGGACCCCUCGGGCAGUCCGAUGGAAAUGGCCCUCCUGGCCACACAAGUAGCACCUGCCCCGACUGCGUGAACACUACCGUGAAAAAUGGGGACCACCGCAGAUCACGCAGCGCGGAGCCUGGCGUCGAUCAGGUCCUCCUCGUUGAGUGGACUGGCCACGUCCUCGCGACUGGCUCCGGUGUCUCGGAUGUCUCGGCGGCCUCCCCAAGUGCGCCUGGCUCGUACCCUCAGCCGCGGGCCUCUUGCCCUUGCCUUUGUCCAAGGCCUCUCGCCGCUCCUGCAGAUCUGCUGCUCCACUCUCCACUAUGAGCGCGCGGUUCACAACCUUCCGGUAGGUUUGGAGGUUGGAAGACUGAACAAACCGAAAGACUGAAGGCCGCAGUCCCCGCUCGAAGAUGCGUGCCUUGUCCUCGUCAUCCCGGACAACAAAGGGCACACAAUGAAGAAGCCGGGAGAACUCUCUCUCAUACUCGGCUACCGUCCUGUCCCC